CUUGCGGCUGCCCGGCGCCAGCUGUCUCUUUAAGAGAAGCGGAGCUCGCUGGCAAUUACGCAGCGGCAUGUGAGCGCAGCGGCUCAGCCUCCCUACCUCCCGCCCCGCCACAGCGCUGGGCGAAGCCGCGGCUCCAGCACCGGCCGGACCCGGCAUGGAGACUGAGGCAGGUCGCUGAGCGAGCCGGCGCCGGCUGCAGUGCCGCAGUGGGGAGGACCCGGCGGGCCCCGCUGAGCGAACUCAGCUGGAGUGCCAAUUAUCGCCAUUGCUAUGUCCCUGCCGGGAAGCAGACGGCCCUCCACCGGAUCUCGAAGGUGAGUACAUCUAGCCUCUUGUCCCUUCACAGACGAACCUGGAAUCUGCCCAGCACCUUUACUGUUAAAAGAGACAAACCAGGGACCAUUUUUCCUCUCCUCCCAAGUGCAUUAACGCAGCGAUUGCGCAGGAGUAGACCCAAGAGCGUUCAUUUAAAAAGGGUGGCUUGGAAGAUCCUUUUGGGGCUGUCCCCGCAGAGCUGUGAACAAACCAGGCUUGCACGUCUAGCCACUCUUCUGCACCACACUUGCACAACUGCUCCCACUCAUGCGAGCACACUUGCACUCAUGUCUCUCCACUGCUGUGAGCGAAGUCUGGCCCGUCUCUUCACUUCCGGUUCGCCAAGGGCAGGCGUUGAUGGAGCAACCUUUUCCUCAGCCGCUGGCGUGGCGGCUGUGAAUCUCUGAGAGGUCUGCCCCUAGAAGAGGUCUUCCCUAAGCUGCCAAGCUCUGUGUCCAGUCAGAGGAGUGGGGAGAAAUGUUCAUCGUUCCCACCCCCAGGAUGGGGGAGCCAUACAUCCAGAGUGGCCAGGCCAUGCCGUCGAACAAGAGAAACCAGAGGUGGCCCAUCAGACAGACGUGUUGGGAGCAGGGGGGUUAGUGUAGCUAUAAGUAAAAUGCAGUGAAAAGUGAACUGAAUUCCAGCAGGCUCGGGGAAGGGUUGGUCGCGGUAGCAGUGUGGAAAGGGGGUAGGGGUGGGAGAGGAGAGUGCUGAGUGGCUCCGCAUCAAGACACACGAUUGCUGUCAUUGGGUGCAAGACCCUGGCCAUAGGACGGGUGGAUUGUGCCCUUUGCCCAGCUCCUGUUGGCUGGGAACCCUUUGUGGGGCUGCUCAAGAGGUGUAAGAGCUCUUUGCUGCAAUGGGGCUGUAGGAGGGGGGCGAUGGGGCACAGCCUUCCCGGGAGACUAGAGGGCACCCCGUAGAGUUUGCAACUCAGCCCUCCCUUGAGCUACUGUCCCGAUAACCCUGCCAAGACAGCCUGGCUCUGUUCCAUCUUGAUCCCUGCUGUUUUGUUUUGUCCUUUUGUCUUUGUGUCUUUGGUGGUUUGGAAGCCGUGGCUUUUAUGGAAGGAGUGGCUUGGCCUCGUUCUUUAAGCCUUCAGCACCCCCUGCCACUCAGACUGAGAAACAGCCUCUUCUUCCUGCCUCCAGGC
rnacentral:lncRNA from 1 species